rnacentral:misc_RNA from 1 species
UCUCCGUAGGUGAACCUGCGGAGGGAUCAUUACAGAGUUCAUGCCCUUCUGGGUAGAUCUCCCACCCUGUGUUAUCAUUACUUUGUUGCUUUGGCGGGCCGUUAGGCUUCGGCUUGGCUACCGGUCCCGGCUGGUAAGCGCCCGCCAGAGGACCCCAAACUCUGAAUGUUAGUGUCGUCUGAGUACUAUAAAAUAGUUAAAACUUUCAACAACGGAUCUCUUGGUUCUG